GAUGAACGCUGGCGGUAUGCUUAACACAUGCAAGUCGAACGGACUCUUCGGAGUUAGUGGCGGACGGGUGAGUAACGCGUGAGAAUCUGGCUUUGGGUUCGGGACAACCACUGGAAACGGUGGCUAAUACCGGAUGUGCCGAGGGGUAAAAGAGAAAUUGCCUGAAGAUGAGCUCGCGUCUGAUUAGCUAGUUGGUGAGGUAAAGGCUCACCAAGGCAGCGAUCAGUAGCUGGUCUGAGAGGAUGACCAGCCACACUGGGACUGAGACACGGCCCAGACUCCUACGGGAGGCAGCAGUGGGGAAUUUUCCGCAAUGGGCGAAAGCCUGACGGAGCAAUACCGCGUGAGGGAAGAAGGCUCUUGGGUUGUAAACCUCUUUUCUUAGGGAAGAACAAAAUGACGGUACCUAAGGAAUCAGCAUCGGCUAACUCCGUG
rnacentral:rRNA from 1 species